rnacentral:rRNA from 1 species
UUUUGCAGCUAUCUCAUGCCCUAAAGGCACCAGAUCCUCUCUGAUCUUGGAAGUGAAGCAGGACCAACCCUGGUUAGUACUUGGAUGGAAGACUGCUGAUGAAUACCAGAUGCAAGCC